AUUUAAUUUACCUGUAUAGCAUUGAAAAGGAGCUUAAAGGUUAUUAGCACUCCCCAUUCAAUAACACCAAACACUGACUCAGCCUGGGUAAGGGGGUUGACUCUGCAGUGCUUGAUAAAGAUGGAAUAUCUUGUAGGAGCUUAACAGACCUCCCUGUAUGAUGUGUGACCUCACUGCCCACAAAAUUGCUGCUCUUUUCAGAAAAUGCAUAGUAACUUAAGAAAUUGUAGCUGAGGCUUGUAUGCCUCUGCCAUAUACACCUUUGUUCCUCUGUAGAUUUUGUUCACAACUUAUGUAUGUACUACUUUAAUAUAUUUGGAUUCAACUGGGAGGGCAACAAUACCUCUCCCUAUUAUCUGAGGAAGAUUGUGGUGAUGUUGGGGAUGGAGGCCUGUUUAGUUCACACAACUACCGUGUUUGAUAGAAUAUUGAAAUGAAGUUUCAUUGAGAAUAUACCAGUCUCUGAAACCCUUUUGGAGAAGGACGUGGUGAGUAGGCAAGAGCCUUUCAGUGAAAAGAGAGGCCUGACAACUGUGACUGAACUGUAGUUUUACUCAGACAUGUAGCGCACAGAUCAAGAUCACAACAGGAAUCUGCAUGUUUUCAGAGGACAGAUAAGAGUGGCAGUUCUCCUGAAUCUUAUGCAAUGGUGAGGUGAUGUUCUCCUGGGUUUCUGACAGUGCAAUAUGCUUCUAGUCUCUGACCUACAUUUCCAAAAAAUGCUGGCUUAGCAUCCUGUGUGUGAGCCUUCUUGUAAAAACAUUAAACUGUGCUAUGCUUCAGCCAACUUUGCCCUGAUGUGUCUUCUAACACCAACAUCUACUCCUCAGUCACACACAUACAUUUUGUGAUUUUUUUCUUCAAUAUUCUAAGGUGAUAAUCCUCCUCCUAGAAUGAGUGAUACUAGUUGCAGCCUCUCAGGUUUACAGCUGAUGGGUUAGGCAGCACUGGAUGUUGGGUGAGGAUAGGUCCUCAUUACACUACGUUUUGUGUUUUUGAAGUUUAAGAGUAGGUUCCAGUUGCAUCUAAAUCAGGUCUGAAAGCCAAGAUCUGAGAUUAACGAGGUGGUGAUUACAAUCAGUGUGGUCUGUUCCUUUACAAUUUUCUUUACCAUCUGUACUCAGUGGCUGGAGGGGAGGGGGCAGUGGAAUAAAGGCCUUUUAGCCCUUUUGGUGACCACAGACUCCAGUUCCUCAUGUACCACCUUUUUUGCUUUUUCCAACUGGACUUGAGGAACUUAUUUUCUUUCAAGAGGCUUUCAACCUAGUCUGUGAUGUACAUAGUGUGCAUUCCCUUGAUUUUAAGUGUCUUGAUGAGCUGGUCAGCCAGGACUUUCCUUUUUUCUUGCAGAAUCCUGACGAAUAGAGUGAGAGCUUCUUCCCAGGACAUGAACAAGGCUGCUUCUCAAAGCAGCGCUGAAGGUUUUCUGCCUUAUCAGUUUUAUAUGCACACCAUGUUUCUGAAGAAUCUGCUGGAAGUGGACCAUCAGCUCACUCUUCCAUAGCAUGAGACAGGUUAUAUUACUCCAUGUCUCCUCCUUGGGCCACACUUCAACAACUCAUGUAGAAGUCCAGAUAUGUGUUCCCCCUAUAUGGAGUCUGGUAUCUGUAUCUGGACCUGAUAUCAACUAGAUGUUAAAUAAUAUUGAGAAUGAGUUCACCAAGAGAUCUAGUACUGAUCUGGAUCAAGAUCUUCAUAUACUAAUUUGCUUCCAGACAGCAAUUGCAACAAACUAAGAAUUGUGCUGGGUAUUCGUGAGACCAAUUAACUCAGUAGUUGAGUCAGAAACUUUAUCUCUGAUUUUUCCAAGUACCUCUCCUAUUUUCUGCUCUCUCUCUUCUGAAAUAAAGAUUGCCUUGGAUGAUAGCUUAAAUGUUGGAGUUUUGCUAUGGCUGUAAUUGACCUUUCCACUUGUUCACACAGAACUGUUUAGUGAUUGCUGGUGAGCCUUGUAUAACCUGAUGAGGUCAUUGGAGCAGGGUAUACAUGGAGAGAGAUGAUAUGGCAUUUGUAAAUACCUCUGGAGAAGUUACAAGUCCAAAAAGGAAGUACUCUGUAUUUAUCUCCUUAUGGACUCGAGGUCUUAAGUGGACUGCAUGCCAUUGUUGCUCUUUGUACUACAAAGAAUCUUGUAUCCAUAUCAAAAUGUUUCCUUGGCACUGGUUCUAUCAUUCCAAUGUAUAUGGACUAUUAUGUACUUAAUUUUCUGAUGCUGCAAGGGAUCUUGUUGAUAAGGUUGGUUUAUUUUAAUUUACUAUAGGAAAAGGAUAAAUUUGUGCCGGGAACAGUGAGUAAUUUUUAAUGCAUAGCCUUCCCUGAAUAUCUUAAGCACCCGUUUUCUGAGGUGGUCCAUUCCCAGAUGCGAGACUACUCUGAAGUGUACCUCUAGGGUGGAUGGGGUAUAUGCCCAGACUUGGGAAACCCCCAAAAUUAGAAGCUCUUGGGGUUAUUGUUUUGCAGAGAAUCGCAGCCUUGGUCUUCCAACUCUUAGGAAAGAUAACAAUGGUCUAAUCUUGUAAUCUCUACACUGGAACCUGGAGGAGCAGAGGUUUCAAAGGGAACACCUGCUGGUAUAAGGUAGUAUCAUGGUUAAAGGCUGUUACUCCUCUGUCCCCUUCCUGGUGUCUCUGAAUUCAUUCCCUCAGGUGUCAGGCCUUGUGCCUUUACCUACCCUGGAGUGGAAUUCCACACUUCUCUGGUUUUUAGGCUGGCCCUGGGGCUAUUAUAUCCUGUGUAUCCAUUGUUCUUACCCAGCAGGUUCAACUGAGUUCAGCACCUGUAGUUCUUCCCUUUGGUAGUACAUGACCAGUGGUAUAUAGUGACCAAUCCCCCCAACCCCCUUAAAACCAACAUACUGUUUGUUGUAAGGGUAGGAACAAGAGGAUUUUAAAACUAUCUACAGGCAUGUCUCUUAAUUAAAGGCUUUUUUUUUCUGAUAGUAAUCUGGGCAGGGCUAACUUCUUGAGACACCUCAGUCAUGUUUCCCCCAAACUCCUCCCACUCUUUCAUUUUAAACCUGCCACAGUUCUUUUGAUCUUCUGGUUUCCAGGCUUUACCUGUCCUAGCAUUGUCUCUUAACAACUAUGAAGUGUUUGCUGAGACAUGUCUUAUCUUGAGUCAUCAUUCUUCCCUUCCUGCUUUUUCCCUUACAGACACUAUUAAACUAAACAAAUAUAUUCAUACAAUAAACACCCCACUAACCAGGUCAAUAUACUAUAUUUAUAAAUCAUUACAGAGCAGCUCCAAUUCCCUCACAGGUACUUUGAAGACUGAGCCUAGACCUCCCCAAGAAGAGACUGCAGCCAAUACUCUCAGGGCUGAGGUGGCUGUAUCUGCAUUCAGUAUGAGUGAUUAUCUUAUUCUCUUGUCUGUGGGCUUGGCUGUCUGAGAAAAUUCCCUCAGCUGGUAUGACUAUGCCUUUUUUCUAAGGAGGCCACAGCAGGCUGAACCUCAGGCAAAGUAAUGAAGACUUCUAGUCCUGAAGGCACGGAAUAAAGGAAUGGUCUCUCUGCACUGUGAAAGGUAGAGGUUUGAUCAUCAGUAUAAACUUGAUUAUUGGAGACCAGCCUACUGGAGAUUUUUUUCUUCAUACUGUCAUUAAAACUAUUUUUAUAAAGAUUUUUACAUUCUCAACUGUAACAGAAUUUAGUACAAAUGUAUCCUUUAAAGCAAUGUGAUACAUCAAGAAGAGUAAAUCAAAAUUUUUAAAAUACCUCUCCCUGCAAAAGUUUUUUGUUUUUGUUUUUUUUGUUUUUGGUCUUUUGAUAGUCUCUCAACCCUCCAGAACAGUAACUGCAACCGUGUUGAAAUCCCUGUUCUCAGGCUGGGCAACCUUCUAAACCUUAGAGAGAAAGCAAGCACAAAUCUGCCUCGCUUGGUGGGAAGAAGUGAGGAUAAUGAACUUGAUGAGCAUGGCUCUCCAGGCUGAAGUUCUCCAACUUGCAAGAAUGGAUUAAGCAAGGGAACAGUGAGACACGUACUCUGGCAUCUAUGCUCAAGCAAACCUUGUUCCCUGGGUUUUAUCACAAGCCUCGAGUUGGGGGUUCAAAUGGUGAAUUAGUAAUAAUUUUGAAGGAUGAUCUUUUUUACAUUUAAUGCCACAUAUUAAAAUGAAAAGGGGACAUAAAUGGCUGGUUAUGUUAAUUCUGCCAACAUUAAGUGUCUCUGUAACCUCUAGCACUCACUCUUGCUGGAAUUAUGUAACAUCUCUAAAUGCAUCCAUUGCAGAUUUACAGCAGGGCAAAACAAGAAAACUGGUGGCUACCAAGGUUCUCUCUCUGUGCAUGUGCCAUGUGCUUUGAAGGCAUGCUGAUUUUUUUUAGUUGGGGGUGUGUGUGUGUGUGUGUGUAAGUAAAAGCAAUAGUCUUUCAGCAAAGCAGACAAACACUUGUACAUGCCCAACUUAGGCACAUAAAUACUCCAAUACAUAUGCACAAUAAGGAUUUGCACACACAUACAGCUAUGUUUGCAAGCAAACCCCACCUUGUACGUGCAUUAGGGUAUAUGUUCAUACAAGUUGACUGCUUGGGCAUUUCUAAAAUCUUGAUCAGAAAUGUACAUCCACUACAGGUGUUAAAUGGCAGAUUUAUUAAGGCAAAUUUAACUAUAAAGACUUCAAAGAGGCAGAGGCUAAUUGUCUUAAUUAGACUAUCAUCCCUUUGAUUUUCAUGCAACUUCAGUAGUGUGACUGGUAUUUUCCUGGGUUUUAGAAUUUUGGCAUACCAAGAACAUCAAUAUUGGAAUGGAUUCCAUAGAAAGAAACAUAAUUCAUUAAACCAAAUUCUUCUUCUACCAAAUUAAGUGUGAAUAUUAGCUUGCAUUUCCGACAAAAUAAAUGUGAGCAUUAGACUGGCAUAUGCUGUAUUUUCAGUCAUAUAGUACUUACCAUAUCAAUGGUUUUCAGAAUGACAGUGUAGUUGUUGAAGAAGUUUGUGUAUGUUUGAAACUGCCACCCAAAUUGAGUGAAUAUUUCACCCAAGCACUGGGAUGGACUCCAUUCCUGAAGUCUUUCCGUCAGCUCAUUUAAAAACUGCCUGUAUUUGAAAUAAAUAGAGAGAGAUGUCUGUUUUUCCACAGUUCCCUGGCCAAAUUACUGUUUGGAUAACUACAUUCUUUCUAGUGUUAAAAAUAAAUAAAUCCCGUUCUAGUUUUAAUUGCAUACAGUUUUCUCAUUCUUGUCCUAGAGUGCUGUUUAGAGUUAAAGUACGCUGUUAAACAAUUGCCAUGUUUUCAUCCCAGAGCUGGCAGUGAAGUGAUUUCUGUAUAUCUUAUAAAGUGCUUUGGGAUCUGUAUGGAUGAUAGUUAUGAUAUAAAUAGAAGUUCUUUAUCAUUUAAACCUUAAAAAUGUGGGUAGCUUAUAAAAUCAGCCCUUUUUUACUGCCUUGAAAGAUUUACAAUGCUCACCUCUUUUAGGCUAUCUAAAGUUUUGCAUAAGGAAAUGCAUAUAUUUUUUUCACUGACAGGAUAUGUUUUUCUCAACUACUGAUGCCCCAGUUCCAAGUAGCUACCAUAGGACCAAUGAAUGUUAGACUGUUGUGUAAUGUUGGCCUGGGAUCUAUUUUUAAUCAUCUGAAUUGCAACUAAUUUUUUUUAAACUGCAGGAAUGGGAAAUGUACACAUAGAACUUGCAAGGGAAAUAAAAACAUGAUUAUGU